GGUGGUAUAGCUUAGUGACAGAGUAUGUCCUUAGCAUGCACGAGGUCCUGGGUUCAACCCCUAGUACCUCCA
rnacentral:tRNA from 1 species